rnacentral:rRNA from 1 species
UACGAAGGACCCGAGCGUUAUCCGGAUUCAUUGGGUUUAAAGGGUGCGUAGGCGGAUUGAUAAGUCAGUGGUGAAAGCCCAUCGCUUAACGAUGGAACUGCCAUUGAUACUGUCGAUCUUGAGUACAUUUGAAGUGGGCGGAAUGUGUCAUGUAGCGGUGAAAUGCUUAGAUAUGACACAGAACACCGAUUGCGAAGGCAGCUCACUAAACUGUAACUGACGCUGAGGCACGAGAGCGUGGGGAUCAAACAGG